rnacentral:lncRNA from 1 species
UGAUUUAGGAUUUAGGAUUUGGUUUAGGGUUUGAUUAGGAUUGAUUUAGGAUUUAGGAUUUGGUUUAGGAUUUGGUUAGGAUUUGGUUAGGAUUUGGUUUAGGAUUUGAUUAGGAUUUGGUUAGGGUUUGAUUUAGGGUUUAGGAUUUGAUUAGGAUUUGGUUUAGGAUUUAGGAUUUGUAUUAAGGUUUGGUUUAGGAUUUGGUUAGGAUUUGGUUAGGGUUUGAUUAGGAUUUGGUUUUGGAUUUGGUUAGGGUUUGAUUAGGAUUUGGUUUUGGAUUUGGUUAAGGUUUUAUUUAAGGUUUGUUUAGGGUAUGAUUUAGGAUUUAGGAUUUUAUUAGGUUUUAAGAUUCAAUUAGUUUUGGUCUAAAGUUUGAAUGAAGUUCAAUAGGAUUUUAACUAAAAUUUAAUUAAGAUUGAAUUGAGAUGUAUUUGACUGAUAUUUGUGAUCCUUCUAAUAUUUCUUUAAGAAUUCUAAUUUUUUGUUUGAAAUUUCUCUUAGAUUUCUUUGAAUUUGAUUAAGCUUGCUUACCAUUAUUAUGGUCUAA